rnacentral:lncRNA from 1 species
GCGCAUGCAACGAUACGAUUCUUGUUUCGCUAUUAUUUAUUAAGAGAAUAUAGUAUGUUAAUAUAGUUGGUAUAUUAUAGAGGAUAAAAUUUAGAAUACGCUGCUGGAGAUGGUAAAGAUAUAGAAGACGAUUUUUUUAGAGUGAACUGUAAAAACAAAGAAUUUUCCUUUAAAAGAUGAAAUUUAGAGAACGUUGAUGGAGAUAGCCGAAAGCGUCAUUUACUCUAAAUAUAGAGGAUCCUCUAGACUCUCCAGCAGCAUUUAAACGGUCAUCUAAAUUUAUAGGUCGUUGCUACACUCUCUCUCUCUCUAUAUAUAUAUAGUUUCUCUAAACGAUCCUCUAUUUAUUUGAAUACUAUAAAUAACCGUUUUACCAAAACUAAAAUAUGUACAAUAUAUUUUAGAGCAUGACAAAUACGUAGGUAUAAAAAAUAAAAAUGUUUGUAAUAUAGGUAUUUAAGUAUAGAUGACGUGAUUUAGAAAACGUUGUUGGAGAUGAAAAAGAUAUAGAUGAUAAAAUCUUUUAGAGAAGACCGUAAAUAAUGGAUAUAAAGGAUAUUGCUGAAGACAACCUUUAUCUUAUCUUUAGCAGGUUGUAUAUACGACCCCGGAUGCAGAAAAUGAGUAAGAAAUCGAUAUUGUUCACGUGUCCAGCAGCUCGCGUACGCGGUCGCACAAAAACCACACCCCACAUCGACGUGCAUAUCUUCGAGCUCUCGCGGUCGCGCACAGUCCAAGCCACGUCCUCCAUUUUUGUGUCCAAGGCCUGCUGAACGGAUGCACAAUCAUUUUGCGCAAUCUGCUGGAAACGAACUCCUUUUUGCGCGACGUAGUGGACUCAUAAAUUGCUAGUAUCCGCAACCGCGCAACAGCACAACCAUUUUGCAUGUUGUCACAUAAUAACAGCUUACGGAGCAACACUGUGAUCCUCUGAGAAGGACAAAAUGAGGUUUUGCUGAUUGUUGUGCGCUACGGCCUUGUUGGAAAAUGUCCUGACGGGUGCUACAUAGGGGGUGUUUGGUUAGAGAUAGGGGGUGUUUGGUUAGAGGGACUAAAGAUUAGUCUCUAGUUUUUAGUCCCAUUUAGUCCCUUUUUUUCCAAACACUAGGACUAAAAUAUGGACUAAAAUGAUUUAGUCUUUAGUCCUUCACAUAGGUGCUAAAAGAGACUAAAAGCCCAUAAUUAUCAUGUUGCCCUUACCUUUUUUAUAGAUAACUAAUAUUGUGAGUAUAUUCUAAGGGUAUUUGAGUCUUUGGACAAUGUAUUUAAUGACUUUAGAAUCUAUUUAGUCCCUAGAACCAAACAUGUAGGGACUAAAGUUUAGUCCUAGGACUAAAGUUUAGUCCUAGGACUAAUUGAAACCAAACAUGGCCAUAGUCUGACCAUUUUUAUGAAGCACGCAACAUAUGUCCUUUAAUAAAACUAGAUCACAUAUUUUUACAUUUGAUACUGAAGCUCUAGUCUGGAGAGUAAAAUAAGUAGAGAAAGACAGAUUUGAUAAUUGGUCAAACCAGAGUAACCUGCUCCAUUUAAACUAAAAACGGAACCGCAACAAUGAAAUAUGCAUUACUGCAACUACAUUACAAUAAAGCAACUUACCUUAGAUUGCAUGAAGGAUCAAACUGUUUGUUCCUAACCAUCCACCAACCACCACGAAGAGAAAUACCAGGUCUUCAUGGUGCUGCUGCUCAAGCGUCCGAGGUCAGAGCAGGGUAUAUGGCACCCAUGGCCUGGUAUAUAUAUAUCCAUAAGAAAUGUAGUGCAGUCGAAGCAUGGGCUGAUGGG